GUACUUGAUAAUAGGCAAAAGAUACUUUCUUUUUUUUUGUCACAUAGGCAAAUAAUAAAAUAAGCAUUCAUAUCUUAAAUGAUAAAUAAAUAUACAUUCAAAUUACUCAGUUAUUGGAUUAAGUGGUCUCGUGAGCAUAGCUCAGUCGAGGUUAGAACUUCAUACAUUCGAUUUAUUCAUUUUAAAAAAUGAAAAAAAUUCUAGCCAUCAAUCAAUUUAAAAGAAGAAAAAAAAUAUCAAUUCAAGUGAGUUGCAUAUCUUAAAGUAGUCUGCAUCUAUUAUGCACAAGUUCAUCAAGUGGUGCACGAUGCACCAGUUAUUAAUAACUCGAUAAUGAAUACGAAUUUUAUAAAAUUCACCGUUGGAUAGAAAGUUUAUAUCAUAUAGAUCAUUCAUAUAAAUUUUAAAAAAAAUUGAAAAUCAUUUGAUAUGUUAUUGAGACCUAUCAAAAUUAACAGUAUUUAAUAAAAUUCAUAAACCGUUAAUUUUGAUGAGUUUCAAUAACAUAUCAAAUGAUUUUCAAUUUUUUUAAAAAUUUAUAUGGAUGAUCUAUACGAUAUAAACUUUCUAUCCAACGAUGAAUUUUAUGAAAUUCGUAUUCGUUAUAGAGUUGUUGACAACUGGUGCACCGUACACCACUUGUCAUACUCUUUCAUUUUAGCCAAAGCCCUUAAAGUAAUAUAAAAAAAAAUCAUCAUUAGUAAUAUUAUCCCAAAAAAAUAUUUUUUUACUAAAAGAAUAUAAAAUUUAAUCACCGAAUACUUCUUCAAUACAUAUAGGGAGGUAUCACAAACGUGUCUGAUUUUUUUUUUAUUAACAAAUUAAAAUUUAAUCAUUGGAUACUACUCUGAUACGUAUAAAAAAAUAUUAGUGUCGGAUACAGUAUCAGACGCGAAACUUACACUUUCGGGUUCAAUCCAUGUGCUAAACCACGGUCCCUCAACUGGUCAAAUUGACUAAACCACAAUCUAAUUCGCUACCUAAAU
rnacentral:lncRNA from 1 species